rnacentral:lncRNA from 1 species
UCAUUUUCUCUUGCCGCCACCAUGUAAGAAGUGCCUUUUGUCUCCCUCCGUGAUUCUGAGGCCUCCCCAGCCAUGUGGAACUCCUCUUCUGCCCUGCCCGGCCACUCCUUUGAGUGACAGGGGGUAAUUGAGAAGCUGCUCCUCCCUCCAGGAAGGAAGACCCGGAGCUCUGGCUUCCCUCGGCAAAGCACAUAUAAACCCACAGCCACUGUGGGUGGAAGGAGAAGGGCAGGGUGGAAAAAGCUUGAGAGAAGGAGGGAGGAAAAGGUGUCCUGGCUAGCACCAUGUGGAUUCUCUUGAGAUGAGAAGAAAAUGCCUGGCUACGUCCCCCUUCUGCUGCUCCUGCUUCUCCUGAGGUGUUCAGAACGGGGUGGGGGAGUUAAUUUUGGUGAGAAGGAUGCAAAAGUCCCCAGGACCUGGAGAGAUGGAGUCAGGGUCCCUGAAGAAGCCUCUUGGGACUCAGACAGGGCCAGUCCUGAGCGAAGGUACGGAAUAGUAGGACUAAGCCAAAGCAUUUCCACUAAGCACCCAGAGACCAGCCCUAAAGACUCAAGAAUAAGAGAAAACGAUGUAACUGCAGAUGGAAGGACCACUGAGGACCACAUCACUGCAGAACCAGGGACCACCGAGGACUCUGUCACUGCAGACCCAGGGACCACUGAGGACAAUGUGACUGCGGACCCAGGGACCACCGAGGGCUCUGUCACUGCAGACCCAGCGACCACCAAGGACUAUGUGUCUGCAGACCCAGGGACCACUAAGGAUUCCGUCACUGCAGACCCAGGGACCACCAAGGACUAUGUGACUGCAGUCCCAGGGACCACUGAGGACUCCAUCACUGCAGACCCAGGGACCACUGAGAACUUUGUCACUGCAGACCCAGGGACCACCAAGGACUCCAUCACUGCAGACCCAAGGACCACAGAGGACUCCGUCACUGCAGACCCAGGGACCACCAAACACUCCAUCACUGUAGACCCAGGGACCACUGAGGACUCUGUCACUGCAGACCCAGGGACCACCAAACACUCCAUCACUGCAGACCCAGGGACCACCAAGGACUCCGUCACUGCAGACCCAGGGACCACAGAAGAUGAAACCACUAAACAUGGUGACACUCACCUUCUGUGAACUACUUCAGUCACAGCAGUGAAACCCACCAGGCUCCUGACACCCAUGGGAAUUAUCCUCAUAUCCCUGGCUGCAACCACAGUCACUGUUGUGCUCUUUGUUGGAUUGGGCUUCAUUGUGAAAGAGUGUUUCCUGCCUCUAUUAAAUCCAUCCACCAGGGUUAUUUAUCAUCCCCAUGUCAUGGACUACAGUACACCAUAAAGAGGACCCCAGCAGUGACUACAGUUGGUUCUAGAAAAAGCAGACCCCUCAUCCGCCUCUGCAGGACUAUGCAGGGUGAUGUGCAUCCUCAGGCCUCCACUCCUCCGCCCCAGUCUGGAGCCCUGGGACCACCACAUGAGGAAGGCAGCUGGCCCCUGGAAUAAGCAUGUGGAGGACACUCAGAAGGAUGCCCAUCUGCUCUGAGUGUCUCCUAAUUCUGCCUGGCCUUGGUUACUUCCUCUGGACAAUCGCCUUUACCUAUCUACCAGGUUUUGAGGAAUUACACACAGCUCAGGUAUAAGAGAUAUUCGGUAAGUCUGAUCAAAUCAAUAAAGCAAAUUUUAUCUGUUUUUGUCUGGGACAUAUCUCUACAUUCAUUCAUUUAACCAAAAAAAAAAAAAA